CAGGUACGGUGCGGGCCUUUCCCAGGCGUGGCUGAGGAUUUGAGGUGAAGUAGAAUGGAUGCCACGGGCAGCGUCACAGCCACAAUGCUGGAGCGUGGCUUUGGCACAGUACAGGUGAUAAAGGCAACUGUGGUGACUGAAGGGAGAUCAGCGCGGAUGCGGCUGCCAUUGAGGAUGGCUCUUGAGGAGCGAUGGUGAUGCCCAGCAUUUGAACAAUGCUGAGCAGUGUUCUGAGUGGGCCCAAGGGAGCUGGAGGAAGAAAGUGGCAUGCCCCAAGAAGGCGUGGAGCCUUGCGGGGAGCAGGUCGCUCACAUCCAGGAGGAGCAGGAUGAGGUGAGCAUCAGUUCGGGAGCGGACGUAGA